GUCCACGCCGUAAACGAUGGAUACUAGCUGUUGGGAGCAAUCUCAGUGGCUAAGCGAAAGUGAUAAGUAUCCCACCUGGGGAGUACGUUCGCAAGAAUGAAACUCAAAGGAAUUGACGGGGGCCCGCACAAGCGGUGGAGCAUGUGGUUUAAUUCGAUGAUACGCGAGGAACCUUACCAAGGCUUAAAUGUAGAUUGACAGGACUGGAAACAGUUUUUUCUCGGACAAUUUACAAGGUGCUGCAUGGUUGUCGU
rnacentral:rRNA from 1 species